rnacentral:tRNA from 1 species
GUGGCUAUAGCUCAGAUUGGUAGAGUCCUGGAUUGUGAUUCCAGUAGUCGUGGGUUCGAGUCCCACUAGUCACCCA